rnacentral:rRNA from 1 species
UACGGAGGGUGCGAGCGUUGUCCGGAAUCACUGGGCGUAAAGGGCGCGUAGGCGGCUCAUGAAGGCUGUGGUGAAAGUCCGGGGCUCAACCUCGGAUCGGCCGUGGCGACUCGUGAGCUGGAGCACUGUAGAGGCGGGUGGAAUUCCGGGUGUAGCGGUGGAAUGCGUAGAGAUCCGGAAGAACACCAGUGGCGAAGGCGGCCCGCUGGGCAGUGGCUGACGCUGAAGCGCGACAGCGUGGGGAGCAAACAGG